CAGGAGCCAGAGGGAAUGGGCCCUGGGAGCCUCGGACCUCCUCCCCAGAUGACAGAACUUCGGAUGUCCCCAUUCCUUUGUUUGUGGAGAUGUCUACCUGCUCACCCUCCUUGCCAGAAGUAACAUUUCCCAGCCCUCCUUUCUCUCCACCCACUUCCCCUCUUUCCAGUCUCUCCUUAAGAUCAUGAAGACAUGACAGACAUUUCCAGCUUUCCUCUACUUUGAUUCCCAAAGAAGGGUCUAAGUUGACACGUAUCAUCUCACUAUGGUUGCAUAUAACUGGUUUGUCCUUUUAUUUUGAGUCCCUGGAGCAAGUUCAUUCAGGAUUAUUUUUUGUAUUUCUCUUCACUUGUGUCUGAACUUCUAAAGUUUUUUUUCAUUUAUGGUCUUCCUUAGGAAUGCUUGGAAGAAUUUUCAUUAAAGGUCCUUUCCCCUAA